UACGUAGGGGUGCAAGCGUUGUCCGGAAUUAUUGGGCGUAAAGAGCUCGUAGGCGGUCUGUCACGUCGGCUGUGAAAUCCCCGAGGCUUCAACCUCGGGUCUGCAGUCGAUACGGGCAAACUAGAGUAUUGCAGGGGAGACUGGAAUUCCUGGUGUAGCGGUGAAAAUGCGCAGAUAUCAGGAGGGAACACCCGGGUGGCGAAAGGCGGGGUCUCUGGGGCAA
rnacentral:rRNA from 1 species